GUCACUAUGACAUAAAAUUAUGAUCUACUCGCUAAUCUCAUAUGCUAAUCUGUAAUAUUUACAUAAUCGUUUAUGAUGUUAUCAAACUGCAGCGUCAUGCUUCUAGUAAUUUCUCGAAUUUGAUGUGAAACAGCACGUAGAUUAUGCCAGAUGGCAUUAAAAACUUGAACAGUUACUGAGUUAGUUACUCAGAUUCUGCAGUGUGUGAAAAUGCCUUUAGCUUUACACAUGUUGGCAAUGGCAAGGAUAAUUCGUGGUUGUGGUAGUAGAAGACUGUCAAUAGUUAUUAGAAAUAGUUGUACUAGUACUACUAGCAGGAGCGUCAGCGGCCUUUGGGACAGAAAGUCUACUUCUUUACCCGUUGGCCUCGCUACUAGUAGCAGUUUGACGAGGAAUUUCCUGCAUACUACGUUUCCAAAUCAUGAGGAAGACGAGGGAAUAUAUGGUACCGGUAAUCUGGACAUGGAGCAUAUUGCUGUCCCUCGUGUCUUUAAAGGCAACGAGAGCGACUUUCCGUGCUUGUUGACGAAUCAUUUUAUGGGAAGAAAACCCGUGCCUGUACGAUGUGACAUUACCGGAAUAUCGGGAUAGGACCAUGAAGGAGGCGGCUAAAUCGAAUAUCGCGGAAAAACUGGGCAUUACAGUGAGUGACGUUGAUAAGCGGAUGAGGAGCUUGCGGACAAUGCUUUCAAAAAUCAUGGCCGAACAGCCUAGUGGAAGCCGGCGCACAAAUAUAUCAGCUAAAAAACAGUGGGUGGUGGAACACCUCCACUUUCUAAAGCCGCAUAUGGUAACAUCAAAAGCGCAACAUCACAAU